AUCCAGCUGACUAGUCCCAAAUAGGACGAAGCGCGCCUCCUAGAU
rfam:Schistosoma curassoni strain Dakar, Senegal genome assembly, scaffold: SCTD_scaffold0001456